rnacentral:lncRNA from 1 species
CUUCACUUCCCUAAUGCGGCAUGCGUGCGGCUGCAGUGCCGCUUCACGGUGGCUCAAAAUCUCAGACCUACACUGCCCUACUAGACCCUACCAAAGUCUUUAGUCCUCAGAUGUGGUUCCGCCCUAAUCCGCAGCGAAAAAUGGCGGACACACCCAAUACCUCCUAGAAAGGAAUCAAGCCUCACAACGGGUUACUAUAGGCGAUGAUGACGUAGUAGAGUUAGGCCCCGAGGGAAACCAGUCAGGGUAGCUAUUUUUACGAAAAACUCCGAAUCUGAUCAAACGAGCCAUUGGCGAUAUUCUCAAGUAUUAUAACCUGUGUCGGCAUUCAGCCAAUUGGCGAAUAUUUUUGAUUUGAAUUUGUAAACAACCGUGUGUGUUCUGGUGUCAACGUUCUUCGUAAAAUUUAUAUUUAUUCAACAAAUGUUGUAAAUGUCAGCAUUAAUUUAAUUCUUAGUGUUAUGGAUAAUUGCCAAUGAGUGCUGUGUACCAAACUGCAGAGGAUUUUACAAAGUUGAUGGUACAAAAGCAUUAAAUUUUGGAUUUCCCAAUACGUAAGAAAUGGCUUGCCGCCAUGCCAAGAGAUUUUGAAGUUGCAAAGAAUUCUAAAGUAUGUGAGAUGCAUUUCAAGGAAAAUGACAUUA